rnacentral:tRNA from 1 species
GGGAAUAUGGCUUAGUGGUAAAGUGCUUGCCUAGCAUGCAUGAAGCCCUGGGUUCCAUUUCUCAGUACCA